rnacentral:ncRNA from 1 species
AUAAAGUCCUAUUUUGAAUAGUGGAAUGAUAGGGUAACGCCUUGAAACGCUAUCUUUAAUACUCCGACAUGCUAUGAGUAGAAUGUGUAAUCAAAAGUAGUGUGAAGCUCGGUGAAGUCGGGCGAAGUAUACCGAAGUGUUCAAUUGAAUAACCGAAAAGGCAAUAGAGGUAUUGUCCGUAUAUGAUAGUCCGGAAGUCGUUAAA